CCUACGGGUGACAGCAGUGGGGAAUAUUGCACAAUGGGGGAAACCCUGAUGCAGCGACGCCGCGUGCGUGAAGAAGUAUUUCGGUAUGUAAAGCUCUAUCAGCAGGGAAGAAAUAGCGACCUUUGGGUCGCCAGACGGUACCUGACUAAGAAGCCCCGGCUAACUACGUGCCAGCACCCGCGGUAAUACGUAGGGGGCAAGCGUUAUCCGGAUUUACUGGGUGUAAAGGGAGCGUAGACGGCAGCACAAGUCUGAAGUGAAAUGCCGGGGCUUAACCCCGGAACUGCUGUGGAAACUGGGUAGCUAGAGUGCAGGGGAGGUAAGUGGAAUUCCUAGGGUAGCGGUGAAAGGCGUAGAUAUUAGGAGGAACCCCAGUGGCGAAGGCGGCUUACGGGACUGUAACUGACGUUGAGGCUCGAAGGCGUGGGGAGCAAACAGGAUUAGAUACCCUGGUAGUC
rnacentral:rRNA from 1 species